GGAGAAACACGAGAAGAAGUGUGGAAAGAGGCCUGAGCCGUAUAAGCAGGCCUGGGAAAGAAGGGAUCAAAGGCCUCCUCCUCCUCGGGUUCUUGAACCAAGAGUGCUUCCUCCUUGGGUCCCGGAGAAACCGACUCCAUUAAAUGCGUCCAGAGCCGAGGUGCUCAUGGCUGUCCAGGAUAAGGAGUUUCUCCAGUGGCCUAAACCUUUGAAGUCGGAAGCAGACCAACGGAAUCCUGACAAGUAUUGUCAAUAUCAUCG
rnacentral:lncRNA from 1 species